ACGGUUACAUCACAUUGAAAUACCAGUUCCAGUACGAUCACCGAAGUUAAGCAAAGCCGAUCCUGGCCAGUACCUAGAUAUGAGACCGCUUGGGAAUACCAGGUGUU